rnacentral:snRNA from 1 species
AUCGCUUCUCGGCCUUUUGGCUAAGAUCAAGUGUAGUAUCUGGCUUCUCGACAGUCACUGCUGAGCAGUUAAUAUCUGAUAUGUCCUCCAAUGUGAGGACUAUAUAUUAAAUGGAUUUUUAGCACUGGGAGCUGAAAGAGGGGUUUGCUCCUUUCACUCCACGCAUCGACCUGGUACUGCAGUGCUGCCAGGAACGGUGCAUCCUUC